rnacentral:rRNA from 1 species
GACGAACGCUGGCGGCGUGCUUAACACAUGCAAGUCGAACGGAAAGGCCCUGCUUUUGUGGGGUGCUCGAGUGGCGAACGGGUGAGUAACACGUGAGUAACCUGCCCUUGACUUUGGGAUAACUUCAGGAAACUGGGGCUAAUACCGGAUAGGAUCUCCUGCUGCAUGGUGGGGGUUGGAAAGUUUCGGCGGUUGGGGAUGGACUCGCGGCUUAUCAGCUUGUUGGUGGGGUAGUGGCUUACCAAGGCUUUGACGGGUAGCCGGCCUGAGAGGGUGACCGGCCACAAUGGGACUGAGAUACGGCCCAGACUCCUACGGGAGGCAGCAGUGGGGAAUAUUGCACAAUGGGCGGAAGCCUGAUGCAGAAACGCCGCGUGCGGGAUGACGGCCUUCGGGUUGUAAACCGCUUUCGCCUGUGACGAAGCGUGAGUGACGGUAAUGGGUAAAGAAGCACCGGCUAACUACGUG